AUAUAUUCUGUCUGGCUACUGCCUACCUCUACACUCUUCUUUCUAGGGACUUCCCUCCCAUUACAGAAACACAGGGCUUCGAGUCUCCAGGUGUUGGAGAGUGCUCUUCUCUCUGAACAUGAUGCCCCUAUCUCAGGACCUGUCCGCACAGAGGUGCAACGGGCUUUUCUCCUGACCGUGAAAGAAGCAGACUUUGCCUCCAUUUGCACAUUCAUUUCAAUAUUCCUCAUCUAGACGUGUGCCAGCUCUUUGGACUCUUCCGGUUUUAACAUCUGCCCAGUUCCCUCACUGACUCAUGAGCUACAUGAAAUUUGGAGCACAUGGCUAUUUUCUAUCUGUAUGGGAGUCAUAAUAUUAUCCUUAUUUGAGAAUGAUCAUUAGCGAAAGUGAGUUUUGACCAGAGCCCAUGCUCUUUGCUCUCAUCCUGUUCAUCAACCAACCAUCACUGAACACCUACUUAGUUCUAGGCCCCCGUGUUGGGUGCUGGGGGCCAACGAUGAGUAAAACAUGGUUCCUACCAUCCAGCGACUCCAGGUCACAAUACUGAGACAGGCGGGACACACAUAGAAGCUGUGGGAGCAAAGUGAGGAGUCCCUAGCCCCCACUUGGAACAUGGAGAAAGUUUCCUGAGAAUCCAGUAAUAAUUAAGAUAAUAAGAUAAUCGCAUUACAACAGAUACUAAACUUCAAUCCAAAAACAUUGGACAAAAUAUAAUUUUAUGGUGACUGGUACUUAAGUGAAGUGAGGUAAACCUUGGCAACAUCUGGUUUCUUAUGAGAUAUGUUAGUAAUGACACUUGGCCUAUGCUACAUUUUAAGUAACAACGUACCCUUUUCCAAAGAAUAUAGAUCAAUGCUCCCAAAUCCCGUGUACAUAACUGAUUAGUUGGCAUUGUUCAAACAAUAAUCAUCAAACAGCCAUCCCUAUGGGGGAAAAAAAAAAGUACAUAGCUA